ACGCCCACAUCUAUCUAACUCAAGGUUGCCCGAACAGAAAGAAACAUUGUGAUUUCUAACAACCUUUUCCUGAGAACAGGAAAACCCAGCCACUCAAAGCCUAUAGCCUAUUUCAAGGCUAAACUAAUUUGAAAAAGCCUUACAAAAGUAAGUCAUGAAUUGCCUCAAUAAACAAAAGAUCUUUUGCCUUGCAGAGGUCCUUGGUUGAGAGGCAGGGCCACAGGAAACCUUACAGAAGUGGAAGAAUCUGUCCCUCCUCAGUAUGAGUCUGGAACUUUUCUACCCUGGCCAGGCCUUGAAUCUGAAAGUAGGACUCCAAAGCACAGAUAGGGAAGGAAAGUUAAGCUACAGGAAGAGAAUCUUGUUUCCUCUUUUGUUCCCUCCCCAAUUCACAGAAUGAUUACUGCCCUUGCCUACAACCUGAAAUAUCUGUAAACAUUGCCUCCAACAGCUGAUGAAAUGCUUCUUCCAGACUGGUAAGUGUGGGUUUGGCUGAGGAGGAGUGUGUGGUGUGUGUGUGUGUGUGUGUGUGUGUGUGUGUGUGUGUGCGUGCGUGCGUGUGUGUGUGUGUGUGUGUGAGAGAGAGAGAGAGAGAGAGAGAGAGUGAUCUUGAUGCUUGCUUGCAAAACAUGCUUUCAAGAGAAGCAAUGAUUCAUUUGGGGAGGGGAUGGUUCCAUUCCCCCAGACCUCAAACAGGUGUAGAAAAGGGUCAGAGAAACGCAUGGGAGAAGCUGAACUCACACUUACCUUUGAGCAGCAAACGAGACUCUAAUGAAGAACAAAUCUGCUGAUGAGUAUGUGACAGCCAUUUGAAUCAAGAUAUUUGCAAACUUCAGGCUCAAUCGCAACGUGUUUCUGUAUACACAAUCAUGCAUAUGAUAUACGAUUUUGAAACAAAAGUGAACUUUCUUUCCUUUGAUAACACCCACUGAAAUGCAACAAGAAUUGUCAGCUGCAAGCAACCAGUUGCUAUUCUGGCUCUAACGUGCUUAUGCAAUUAAUAGUCCAGCAGUCUGGUCCAAGGCCCCUCUUUGCUUGGAGCAAGAGUGUUAAUGAAGCUUAGAGGCCAAGCCUUUUAUUUAUAGAUAUAGUGUCCUCUUGAAAUGUAACAACAUACAAAAAAAGUAAUAAAACAGAGAGGCAAUCGGGGAUUUUGUUGAUGUUUGUUAUUAGCAUUGUGUAAAAUAUGACACAGCCAACUUCAAUUCCUA
rnacentral:lncRNA from 1 species